GACGAACGCUGGCGGCGUGCCUAAUACAUGCAAGUCGAACGCUUCUUUCCUCCCGAGUGCUUGCACUCAAUUGGAAAGAGGAGUGGCGGACGGGUGAGUAACACGUGGGUAACCUACCCAUCAGAGGGGGAUAACACUUGGAAACAGGUGCUAAUACCGCAUAACAGUUUAUGCCGCAUGGCAUAAGAGUGAAAGGCGCUUUCGGGUGUCGCUGAUGGAUGGGCCCGCGGUGCAUUAGCUAGUUGGUGAGGUAACGGCUCACCAAGGCCACGAUGCAUAGCCGACCUGAGAGGGUGAUCGGCCACACUGGGACUGAGACACGGCCCAGACUCCUACGGGAGGCAGCAGUAGGGAAUCUUCGGCAAUGGACGAAAGUCUGACCGAGCAACGCCGCGUGAGUGAAGAAGGUUUUCGGAUCGUAAAACUCUGUUGUUAGAGAAGAACAAGGACGUUAGUAACUGAACGUCCCCUGACGGUAUCUAACCAGAAAGCCACGGCUAACUACGUG
rnacentral:rRNA from 1 species